UACGGGGGGGGCAAGCGUUGUUCGGAAUUACUGGGCGUAAAGGGCUCGUAGGCGCCAACUAAGUCAGACGUGAAAUCCCUCGGCUUAACCGGGGAACUGCGUCUGAUACUGGUUGGCUUGAGUGUGGGAGAGGGAUGCGGAAUUCCAGGUGUAGCGGUGAAAUGCGUAGAUAUCUGGAGGAACACCGGGUGGCGAAGGCGGCAUCCUGGACCAUUACUGACGCUGAGGAGCGAAAGCCAGGGGGAGCAAACGGG
rnacentral:rRNA from 1 species